ensembl:lncRNA
GUUCAGACUGGAUAAUGUUUGACUCAGAACACAAACACUACAGGAACAAGCUAAAACAUGUCUGAGUGCUCUCACAAUCUCACUACACUGACGUGAAGAUAUUCUACAAAUCAUAUUUACAUCUUACAAGUUGUGCAAAGAAAGGCCAUUCUACUUGCUUUAGAAGGAACAAUGAAUGACUUGGUCCUUUCCUCCAUGAGGAAUGUUUGACUGUGAGGGCCAGUAAAGGAAACAACUGCAAACCGUACAGCAUGGAGCAGAAGAA